GGGGAGUCGUGAUUGUAUAUUAGAGUUUGAUCCUGGCUCAGGAUGAACGCUAGCGGGAGGCUUAACACAUGCAAGCCGAGGGGUAUUCAGUUGCUUGCAACUGAAGAGACCGGCGCACGGGUGAGUAACGCGUAUGUAACUUGCCUCAUUCAACGGGAUAGCCCGGGGAAACCCGGAUUAAUAUCGUAUAACAGCCGGACAGGCAUCUGUUUGGUUUGAAAGAUUCAUCGGAAUGAGAUAGACAUGCGUAUGAUUAGCUUGUUGGCGGGGUAACGGCCCACCAAGGCGAUGAUCAUUAGGGGUCCUGAGAGGGUGAUCCCCCACACUGGUACUGAGACACGGACCAGACUCCUACGGGAGGCAGCAGUGAGGAACAUUGGACAAUGGGUGAGAGCCUGAUCCAGCCAUCCCGCGUGCAGGAAGACGGCCUUAUGGGUUGUAAACUGCUUUUAUACAGGAAUAAACCAUCUUACGAGUAGGGUGUUGAAGGUACUGUAUGAAUAAGCACCGGCUAACUCCGUGCCAGCAGCCGCGGUAAUACGGAGGAUCCGAGCGUUAUCCGGAAUUAUUGGGUUUAAAGGGUUCGUAGGCGGUUGAGUAAGUCAGUGGUGAAAUCUUAUAGCUUAACUAUAAAAUUGCCGUUGAUACUGCUUGACUUGAAUAGUAUGGAAGUAAUUAGAAUAUGUAGUGUAGCGGUGAAAUGCUUAGAUAUUACAUGGAAUACCAAUUGCGAAGGCAGAUUACUACGUACUUAUUGACGCUGAUGAACGAAAGCGUGGGUAGCGAACAGGAUUAGAUACCCUGGUAGUCCACGCCGUAAACGAUGGAUACUAGCUGUUCGGUUUUCGGACUGAGUGGCUAAGCGAAAGUGAUAAGUAUCCCACCUGGGGAGUACGUUCGCAAGAAUGAAACUCAAAGGAAUUGACGGGGGCCCGCACAAGCGGUGGAGCAUGUGGUUUAAUUCGAUGAUACGCGAGGAACCUUACCAGGCUUAAAUGUAGAUUGACAGGUUAGAGAUAGACUUUUCUCGACAUUUACAGUGCUGCAUGUGUCGUCAGCUCGUGCGUGAGUGUCAGUAGUCUAUACGAGCGCACCCUAUUGUAGUGCAGCGAGUAUGUCGGACUCUAACAGACUGCCGGUGCAAACGUGAGGAAGGUGGGGAUAGCGUCA
rnacentral:rRNA from 1 species